rnacentral:rRNA from 1 species
CCUACGGGAGGCUGCAGUGGGGGAUAUUGCACAAUGGGGGGAACCCUGAUGCAGCAAUGCCGCGUGAACGAAGAAGGCCCUAGGGUCGUAAAGUUCUGUCGUAUGGGAAGAAAGAAAUGACAGUACCAUACAAGAAAGCCCCGGCUAACUACGUGCCAGCAGCCGCGGUAAUACGUAGGGGGCAAGCGUUAUCCGGAAUUACUGGGCGUAAAGGGUGCGUAGGCGGCUUGUUAAGUCAAGGUUAAAAGGCAGCAGCUCAACUGCUGUUCGGCCUUGAAACUAAUAAGCUUGAGUAUAGGAGAGGAAAGUGGAAUUCCCAGUGUAGCGGUGAAAUGCGUAGAUAUUGGGAGGAAUACCGGUGGCGAAGGCGACUUUCUGGACUAAAACUGACGCUGAGGCACGAAAGUGUGGGUAGCAAACAGGAUUAGAUACCCUAGUAGUC